UACGGAGGGUGCAAACGUUGCUCGGAAUCAUUGGGCGUAAAGCGCACGUAGGCGGUACAGCAAGUCGGAUGUGAAAGCCCUCGGCUCAACCGAGGAAGUGCAUUCGAAACUGCUGAACUUGAAUAUGGAAGAGGGUCGCGGAAUUCCCGGUGUAGAGGUGAAAUUCGUAGAUAUUCGGAAGAACACCAGUGGCGAAGGCGGCUCACUGGCCCGGUACUGACGCUGAGGUGCGAAAGCGUGGGGAGCAAACAGG
rnacentral:rRNA from 1 species